AUGCAAGUUGAGCGAGAAGACGUAGCAAUACGUUUGUAAAGCGGCGAACGGGUGAGGAAUACAUGGGUAACCUACCCUCGAGUGGGGAAUAACUAGCCGAAAGGUUAGCUAAUACCGCGUACGCUUCUUGGACUUCGGUUCAGGGAGGAAAGCGAUACCGUGGGUAUCGCGCUCUUGGAUGGGCUCAUGUCCUAUCAGCUUGUUGGUGAGGUAACGGCUCACCAAGGCUUCGACGGGUAGCUGGUCUGAGAGGACGAUCAGCCACACUGGCACUGCGACACGGGCCAGACUCCUACGGGAGGCAGCAGUAAGGAAUAUUGCGCAAUGGGCGAAAGCCUGACGCAGCGACGCCGCGUGGGGGAUGAAGGUCUUCGGAUUGUAAACCCCUUUCGGGAGGGAAGAUGGAAUGGGGUAACCCAUUCGGACGGUACCUCCAGAAGCAGCCACGGCUAACUUCGUGCCAGCAGCCCGCGGUAAU
rnacentral:rRNA from 1 species